rnacentral:rRNA from 1 species
UACAGAGGGGGCAAGCGUUAUUCGGAAUUAUUGGGCGUAAAGGGCGCGUAGGCGGCUUGGCAAGUGGAAGGUGAAAUCCCUCGGCUUAACCGAGGAACUGCCCUCCAAACUGCUUCGCUUGAGACCGGGAGAGGUGAGUGGAAUUCCCAGUGUAGCGGUGAAAUGCGUAGAUAUUGGGAGGAACACCAGUGGCGAAGGCGGCUCACUGGACCGUUACUGACGCUGAUGCGCGAAAGCGUGGGGAGCAAACGGG